rnacentral:rRNA from 1 species
UACGGAGGGGGCUAGCGUUGUUCGGAAUUACUGGGCGUAAAGCGCACGUAGGCGGCUUUGUAAGUUAGAGGUGAAAGCCCGGGGCUCAACUCCGGAAUUGCCUUUAAGACUGCAUCGCUAGAAUUGUGGAGAGGUAAGUGGAAUUCCGAGUGUAGAGGUGAAAUUCGUAGAUAUCAAGUGGAACACCAGUGGCGAAGGCGAGUCCCUGGACAACUCCUGACACUGAGGCACGAAAGCUAGGGGAGCAAACAGG